rnacentral:rRNA from 1 species
CACGUAGGCGGAUAUUUAAGUCAGGGGUGAAAUCCCAGAGCUCAACUCUGGAACUGCCUUUGAUACUGGGUAUCUUGAGUAUGGAAGAGGUAAGUGGAACUCCGAGUGUAGAGGUGAAAUUCGUAGAUAUUCGGAGGAACACCAGUGGCGAAGGCGGCUUACUGGUCCAUUACUGACGCUGAGGUGCGAAAGCGUGGGGAGCAAACA